rnacentral:tRNA from 1 species
GUACGUUUAGCUCAGCUGGAUAGAGCGUCUGACUACGGAUCAGAAGGUCGGGAGUUCGAAUCUUCUAACGUACACUA